UACGAGUGCCUCAAGCGUUAUCCGGAAUUACUGGGCGUAAAGGGUGCGUAGGCGGGUCUUUAAGUCAGGGGUGAAAUCCUGGAGCUCAACUCCAGAACUGCCUUUGAUACUGAGGAUCUUGAGUAUGGGAGAGGUGAGUGGAACUGCGAGUGUAGAGGUGAAAUUCGUAGAUAUUCGCAAGAACACCAGUGGCGAAGGCGACUCACUGGCCCAUUACUGACGCUGAGGCACGAAAGCGUGGGGAGCAAACAGG
rnacentral:rRNA from 1 species